rnacentral:rRNA from 1 species
CCAGACUCCUACGGGAGGCAGCAGUAGGGAAUUUUCGGCAAUGGGGGGAACCCUGACCGAGCAACGCCGCGUGAACGAAGAAGUUAUUCGUAAUGUAAAGUUCUUUUAUCAGGGAAGAAAGAGGAAUUUGACGGUACCUGAGGAAUAAGCUCCGGCUAACUACGUGCCAGCAGCCGCGGUAAUACGUAGGGGGCAAGCGUUAUCCGGAUUUACUGGGUGUAAAGGGAGCGUAGACGGUUAUGUAAGUCUGGAGUGAAAGCCCGGGGCCCAACCCCGGGACUGCUUUGGAAACUGUGUAACUGGAGUACAGGAGGGGCAGGCGGAAUUCCUGGUGUAGCGGUGAAAUGCGUAGAUAUCAGGAGGAACACCGGCGGCGAAGGCGGCCUGCUGGACUGUAACUGACGUUGAGGCUCGAAAGCGUGGGGAGCAAACAGGAUUAGAUACCCUUGUA